CUCAAAGGAAUUGACGGGGGCCCGCACAAGCAGUGGAUUAUGUGGUUAAUUCGACGCAACGCGAAGAACCUUACCAGGAUUUGACAUCCAACUAACGAAGUAGAGAUACAUUAGGUGCCCUUCGGGGAAAGUUGAGACAGGUGGUGCAUGGUUGUCGUCAGCUCGUGUCGUGAGAUGUUGGGUUAAGUCCCGCAACGAGCGCAGCCCCUAUUGUUAGUUGCUACGCAAGAGCACUCUAGCGAGACUGCCGUUGACAAAACGGAGGAAGGCGGGGACGACGUCAAAUCAUCAUGCCCUUUAUGUCCUGGGCUACACACGUAAUACAAUGGCCGUCAACAGAGGGAAGCAAAACCGCGAGGUGGAGCAAAUCCCUAAAAACGGUCUCAGUUCGGAUUGCAGGCUGCAACUCGCCUGCAUGAAGCUGGAAUUGCUAGUAAUCGCGGAUCAGCAUGCCGCGGUGAAUACGUUCCCGGGCCU
rnacentral:rRNA from 1 species